AUUGAACGCUGGCGGCAUGCCUUACACAUGCAAGUCGAACGGCAGCGCGGGGCAACCUGGCGGCGAGUGGCGAACGGGUGAGUAAUAUAUCGGAACAUACCCUAGAGUGGGGGAUAACGUAGCGAAAGUUACGCUAAUACCGCAUACGCACUAAGGUGGAAAGUGGGGGAGUUCGCAAGAACCUCAUGCUCAUGGAGUGGCCGAUAUCUGAUUAGCUAGUUGGUGAGGUAAAGGACUCACCAAGGCGACGAUCAGUA
rnacentral:rRNA from 1 species